rnacentral:rRNA from 1 species
AGUGAACGCUGGCGGUAGGCCUAACACAUGCAAGUCGAACGGCAGCACAGAGGAGCUUGCUCCUUGGGUGGCGAGUGGCGGACGGGUGAGGAAUACAUCGGAAUCUACUCUGUCGUGGGGGAUAACGUAGGGAAACUUACGCUAAUACCGCAUACGACCUACGGGUGAAAGCAGGAGACCUUCGGGCCUUACGCGAUUGAAUGAGCCGAUGUCGGAUUAGCUAGUUGGCGGGGUAAAGGCCCACCAAGGCGACGAUCCGUAGCUGGUCUGAGAGGAUGAUCAGCCACACUGGAACUGAGACACGGUCCAGACUCCUGCGGGAGUCAGCAGUGGGGAAUAUUGGACAAUGGGCGCAAGCCUGAUCCAGCCAUACCGCGUGGGUGAAGAAGGCCUUCGGGUUGUAAAGCCCUUUUGUUGGGAAAGAAAUCCAUCUGGUUAAUACCCGGGUGGGAUGACGGUACCCAAAGAAUAAGCACCGGCUAACUUCGUGCCAGCCGCCGCCGUAA